GACGUAGGGCGCGAGCGUUGUUCGGAAUUACUGGGCGUAAAGGGCUCGUAGGCGGCCAACUAAGUCAGACGUGAAAUCCCUCGGCUUAACCGGGGAACUGCAUCUGAUACUGGAUGGCUUGAGUUCGGGAGAGGGAUGCGGAAUUCCAGGUGUAGCGGUGAAAUGCGUAGAUAUCGGAAGGAACAUCAGUGGCGAAAGCGGCUUCCUGGUCCAGCACCGACGUUCAGGCACGAAAGCGUGGGGAGCAAACAGG
rnacentral:rRNA from 1 species